GCUUGAGCACGUAGGUGGGUUUGUAAGUCAGAUGUGAAAGCCUUCUGUUCAACGGAAGAAUUGCAUCUGAAACUACAAGUCUUGAGUGUAGAAGGGGAGAAUGGAACUUCUGGUGGAGCGGUGAAAUCCGUAGAUAUCAGAAGGAACGCCGGCGGCGAAAGCGAUUCUCUGGCCUAUUACUGACACUCAGUGUGCGAAAGCUAGGGGAGCAAACGGGAUUAGAUACCCCGGUAGUCCUAGCCGUAAACGAUGGGCACUAAGUAGAGGGGAUUACCGACGUUCUCUCUGCCGUAGCUAACGCAUUAAGUGCCCCGCCUGGGGAGUACGGCCGCAAGGCUAAAACUCAAAAGAAUUGACGGGGGCUCGCACAAGCGGUGGAGCAUGUGGCUUAAUUCGAUGCAACGCGAAGAACCUUACCGGGGCUUGACAUGGUAGAAGUAGGAACCCGAAAGGGUAACGAACGGUAUCCAGUCCGUGACUAUCACAGGUGUUGCAUGGCUGUCGUCAGCUCGUGUCGUGAGACGUUGGGUUAAGUCCCCUAACGAGCGAAACCCUUGUUUUUAGUUACCAGCGGGUUAUGCCGGGUACUCUAGAAAGACUGCCGUCGUCAAGACGGAGGAAGGUGGGGAUGACGUCAAGUCAUCAUGGCCCUUAUGCCCCGGGCUGCACACGUGCUACAAUGGUCGGUACAAACGGAAGCGAAGCCGAGAGGUGAAGCGAAUCCAAGC
rnacentral:rRNA from 1 species